rnacentral:ribozyme from 1 species
UUUUUUUUUUUUUUUUUUUUUUUUUUUUUUUUUUUUUUUUUUUUUUUUUUUUUUUUUUUUUUUUUUUGCAGGACAGAACUGCCGAAGCAGGGACAUCAACAAAUGCAAUGCAAUACUUGAUAAAAA